rnacentral:rRNA from 1 species
UACGUAGGGUGCGAGCGUUAAUCGGAAUUACUGGGCGUAAAGCGUGCGCAGGCGGUUCUAUAAGACAGAUGUGAAAUCCCCGGGCUCAACCUGGGAAUGGCAUUUGUGACUGUAGAGCUAGAGUACGGUAGAGGGGGAUGGAAUUCCGCGUGUAGCAGUGAAAGGCGUAGAUAUGCGGAGGAAAACCGAUGGCGAAGGCAAUCCCCUGGACCUGUACUGACGCUCAUGCACGACCGCGUGGGGCGCCAACAGGAUUAGAUCCCACUGUAGUCC